ensembl:lincRNA
GCUUUUUCAAUAAGAACAAAAUUUUGACUAUAGUCAGAAUACAAAAUUCUAUCCUUUAUUUUUUGAGUUGAGAGGAGAAAUUGGUGAGAAAACCUGUCAAGUUGUGUUUGCAUAUUUUGACUGUUUCCUGCAGGGGAACACCAGCCAUGAGUGACAAAUCUUGGUACAGUGUUCAAGUUAAAGAUUCAUUACUUCAACCUCCUUCAGAUGAUGGAGGAAAUGCAACGAUGUGCAAAUCUCACUUUCUGAAUUCAUGCCUCUGGGGACAACAUGAGAUUCAGAAACCGGGGAAAUCACGGUUUCAGAUUCCAUCUUGUGUCCAAUAUAAUCUCUUCUAUUGGUGCUUCUCAACUUUAAAUCACUUUGGGAGCUUUAUACAAAUCAUCAUACCCAGAUUGCUGGAAGUCUGUCCUUCAUACCUGAGGAAAGUUAUGUGAAGAGCCUUUUGAGAUAAAAAGAGGAAACAGAAGACUUGAGCAAUACUAUAAAUCAACAAGAUUUAACUUAUAAAGAGCAUUCCACCCAACAACAGCAGAAUACAUACUUUCCCAAUGUGUAUUAAACAUUCUUCAGGAUAGGACACAUGAAGAUUAUCAAACAAGUCUCAACAAAAUUUUAUAGUUUGAAACCAUAAGAAGUGUCUUCUCUAACCCCAAGAAAUAAAGCUAGAAAUGAAUAACAGAAGGAAAACUGGAAAAUUCUUAAAUAUUCAGAAAUUAAACAACACAGUUUAAACAACUAGUGGGUGAAAUAACAAAUUGCAAAAGAAACUAGAAAAUGUUUAGAGAUAAAAAACCUCAAAACAAACCAGAUUUAUGGGAUGUAGGAUAUGUGGUACUCAGAUAAAUAUUUAUGGCUGUAAAUGCCUAUAUUAAAAAGAAGAUCUCAAUUAAAUAACUUAACCUGCACCUUGAAUAAAUAGUUUUUUAAAAAGGGCAAAGUAAACUCAAGGCUAGCAGGACAGAAAUAAUCACAAUUAGAGUGAAGAUAUUAAUACAUAAAAUAAAAAAUACAAGAAAAAGAAAGAGAUUUAAGAAAAAAAAAUUGUUUAUUUGACAAAAUCAACAAGAUUCACAAAUCUUUUAGCUAAAGUGACUAAAAAAAGGGGAGAGGGAGAGAAGACUCAAACUGUUCAAAUCAUAAAGUGGAGACAAUACUACUGACCAUACAGAAAUAAGAAAAAAAUAAGAGAUUAUUAUGAGAGAUUUUAUACCAAAAGACAGGCAACAUAGAUGAAAUGGUCAAAUUCUUGGAAACAUGAAUAUGUCAUUAUUAACUCAAGAAGAAAUAGGAAAUCUCAAAAGAACUAUAACAAAUAAAGAGAUUAAGUCAGUGAAUUUAAAACUUUAACAAAGAAAAACCCAGGACCAGAUGGUUUCAUUGGUGAAUUAUACCAAACAAAUACUUCCAAAAAACCAAAUAGGAAAGUAUACUUCCUAACUCAUUCCUAACAGUUAUAAGCCAGUAUUACUUUGAUUCCAAAGCCAAGGAAAUUACAAGAAAAGAAAACAAAAGGCCUAUAUUGUAUAAGAAUAUAGGUAUAAAAAUCCUCAGCAAAGGACUAGCAAACUGAAUCUAUCAGCAUAUUAGAUUAUACACUAUGACCAAGUGGGAUUUAUUCCAGAGAUGCAACAGAGGCCAAAUAAAUACAAAUCAAUAAAUGUGAUACAUCAUAGUAAUAGAAUAAAGGGGAAAACACAUGGUCACCUCAACUGAUGUAAAAAAAUGUGUUUGACAUGUUUUCAUGGAAAAACACUCAACAAACAAAGAACACAGGGAAUUUCCAGAACCUGAAAAAGGGAAUGUAUUAAAAAAACCACAACGAACAUAAUACUCAAAGGUUCAACUUGGAAUGAUUUCCCCUAAGAUGAUGAAUAAGACAAAGAUGUCCAUCCUCUCCACAUAUAUUCAUCAUUUUCCUGGAAUUUCAUAGAAUUUACUGGCUAUAGUAAGCAGACUAGAAAAGGAAAGGGCAUCCAAUCUGGAAUAGUUGUGAAAUUAUCUCUGUUCACAAAUAUAACAUGAUAGUAUAUGUAGAAAAUCCUAAAUAAUCCACAAAAAUCUAACAGAGCAAAUAAAUAUUACAUGGCCUAGUUGUGAAUAUCAAUUACACAGUAACAAUACUGUAAAUACCAAAUGCUGAUCUAGCGGCAAUUAUACAAUUAAAACACAAUGGCAAGGAUAAGGAUUUCAGAAUUGGGAUACCUGAACUGGGGAGAAGAACAAGAGAUAAAUUCUUAUGUUCUAUAACAAGAAAUCCAUAAAUAAUGCCUAAAACUUGAAAAGAAAAAAAAUAGCCAUACAAACAUAGUAUUUGGAGUCCUGUUACUGAAUAUCAAAAAAAAUGAGCUGAGAGAAUUGUGAAUAUUCUUACUGGGAAAGCAGCAAGGCAGGGUCAAGAUGGGUGCUAGGGAGUGCUCUUGAUCUUCAAGUUCAUAAGAAUAAUAGAUUCCUUAAAUUAUGCACAUGUAAUAAUUCAAUUAAAAACAACCUGAAAAAUAAUAUGAUAAGACAAAUAUACAAGGGCUAGAGCACUGUCACAGGAAAAAAAGAAUGGGGCAAAAUAGUUACAUGAAAACAAAACAGAUCAUUGAUUGCAUUUGGAUCAUGAAUAAUGACAUUCUUCAGAGCAAGUAUCAAGAAACGUGAACCUCAAGGCUUAUCUUUUUAAGAAAAUAAUUGUGAUUUUCAAUGGCGUAUUCUUUUAAAAACAUACAGCUAUUUUAUCUAGAAGUGAAACAAAAAUAAGUGUGGCAGAAAAAAGAAAUGCCUGAAAUGGAACAAAAUGAUGAGAAAAAUACCUUUCGAGCUUUCAUAAAGAGAGAUGGACUGCAGUAUGCUUGUCACUUUCUAUACUUGUGACAAAUUGUUAAAAGUCAUAGGAUAUUUGGGGGAGGGGAAUCAAACUGAAUUAUAUAUAAUUAGAUUUUUAUACAUGCCAGGUUAGAUGCAUUAAAAUAUUAACAUUCUCAUAUGUGUAUGUAUGUGUCAUAUACAAUUCUGAGGAAAGGUACCACCUGCACUAUAAUCCUGAAGGAAAUCAUCAUCUUCUCUUGCCAUAGUAUUUCAAUCACUUGCUAACAAGGAUCACCAUUGUAAACCUUGCCCAGCUUUAAUUUAAUCUCAAGAGUGCAUAGAAGACAAAUCACCAGUCUGUGCUAAAAUAUAACCUUUGGGCCUCCACUGAUGACCCCAUAUAUGAUUGCAGCCCUUCUGUAUUUAUUCGACUCUUUUGUUCCUUUCCUGUUUUAUUUCUCUGCUACACACUCAUCAUUAAUACAAACAUAAAACAAGUGACUAAUUAAGACAUAAUAUUUGUAAUAUC